rnacentral:rRNA from 1 species
GCUUGUCUCAAAGAUUAAGCCAUGCAUGUCUUAGUGUAAAUAACUCUUAUGAAACUGCGAAUGGCUCAUUAAAUCAGUUAUCAAAUACGUGAUGGUCGCCUACUACAUGGAUAACCGUAGUAAUUCUAGAGCUAAUACAUGCGAAAAGACCCGACUUUGCGGAAGGGUUGCAUUUAUUAGAUACAAAACCAAUGCGGGGCAACCCGGUUGUUGGUGAUUCAUAAUAACUUUUGCGGAUCGCAUGGCCUUGAGCCGGCGACGAAUCAUUCAAAUUUCUGCCCUAUCAACUUUCGAUGGUACGGUAUUGGCCUACCAUGGUUACCACGGGUAACGGGGAAUUAGGGUUCGGUUCCGGAGAGGGGGCCUGAGAAAUGGCCACCACAUCCAAGGAAGGCAGCAGG